UACGUAGGGUGCAAGCGUUGUCCGGAAUUAUUGGGCGUAAAGGGCUCGUAGGCGGUCUGUCGCGUCUGCUGUGAAAACUCAGGGCUUAACCCUGAGCUUGCAGUGGGUACGGGCAGACUAGAGUGCGGUAGGGGAGACUGGAAUUCCUGGUGUAGCGGUGAAAUGCGCAGAUAUCAGGAGGAACACCGGUGGCGAAGGCGGGGUCUC
rnacentral:rRNA from 1 species